GGGGAAUAUUGCGCAAUGGGGGAAACCCUGACGCAGCAACGCCGCGUGAUGGAAGAAGGCCUUCGGGUUGUAAACUUCUUUGAUGAGGGACGAAAGAAAUGACGGUACCUCAAGAACAAGCCACGGCUAACUACGUGCCAGCAGCCGCGGUAAUACGUAGGUGGCGAGCGUUGUCCGGAAUUACUGGGUGUAAAGGGCGUGUAGGCGGGGAUGUAAGUCAGAUGUGAAAUACCAUGGCUCAACUGUGGGGCUGCAUCUGAAACUACAUUUCUUGAGUGCUGGAGAGGAAAGCGGAAUUCCCAGUGUAGCGGUGAAAUGCGUAGAUAUUGGGAGGAACACCAGUGGCGAAGGCGGCUUUCUGGACAGUAACUGACGCUGAGGCGCGAAAGCGUGGGGAGCAAAC
rnacentral:rRNA from 1 species